AGUUUAUUGGCCCUUGUUGCACCCGUAGUCGUUAGACCUGCCUCCAGACUGUACCAUUUGAAGUAAAAUCGAUUUUGCCCUUCACUGAUUUCUGUGACAUGAUUUGUUAAGACUUGAGAAAGGCGUGGACAUUUACAACUCGAGUUCAGACAAAAAGCAACAUGGACCUCUCAUGAAGCUGCCAGGGAGAAGAUAAAUGAAGAAUUCAAGAAACACAGAAAUGAAACAUGUACAGAAACAAUAAAUAAGUAUUUUUCAGAUGAUUAAAGUUGGUUCAGAUGUUGAAGUUAUUCUUCGUAAAACAGUACUCCAGGGAGUUCAUGUAGAAGACAAAAAAAUACACCUUCGGUACAGAGAAG